rnacentral:rRNA from 1 species
GAUGAACGCUGGCGGCGUGCCUAAUACAUGCAAGUCGAACGAACAGGCGCGGAUCUUGCUCCUCUCACGUUAGCGGCGGACGGGUGAGUAACGCGUGGAUACCCUACCUAUAAUACUGGGAAAACUUCGGGAAACCGGCUCUAAUACCGUAGAAUAUAUUGAACCGCGUGGUUGAAUGGUGAAAUACGGUUGUGGUGUCACUAAUCGAGGGAUCCGCGCCGUAUUAGCUGGUUGGUAGGUUAACAGCCUACCACGGCGACGAUGCGUGGACGACGUGAGAGGGUGAUAGCCCACAUGGGAACUGAGACGCGGUCAAGACUCCUAAGGGAGGCAGCAGUAGGGAAUCUUACGCAACGGGCGAAAGCAUGACGCAGCAACGCCGCGUGAGUGAUGACGGCCUUCGGAUCGUAAAAACCGGUUAUUAGGGAAGAACCAAUGUGUAAGUAACUAUGCACGUCUUGACGGUAAUUAAUAAGAAAGCCACGGCUAACUACGUG